GUCCAGCAGCCGCGUUAAUACCGGCAGCCCGAGUGAUGACCGAUCUUAUUGGGCCUAAAGCGUCCGUAGCUGGCUACGCAAGUCCGUCGGGAAAUCCACUCGCCCAACGAGUGGGCGUCCGACGGAAACUGCAUAGCUUGGGACCGGAAGGCUCGAAGGGUACGUGCGGGGUAGGAGUGAAAUCCCAUAAUCCCGCACGGACCACCGAUGGUGAAAGCACUUCGAGAAAACGGAUCCGACAGUGAGGGACGAAAGCCAGGGUCUCCAACCGGAUUAGAUACCCCAGUAGUCC
rnacentral:rRNA from 1 species